AUAACGACUCUCGGCAACGGAUAUCUCGGCUCUCGCAUCGAUGAAGAACGUAGCGAAAUGCGAUACUUGGUGUGAAUUGCAGAAUCCCGUGAACCAUCGAGUCUUUGAACGCAAGUUGCGCCCCAAGCCUUCGGGCCGAGGGCACGUCUGCCUGGGUGUCACG
rnacentral:rRNA from 2 species